rnacentral:rRNA from 1 species
GGAUAUUGGGCGUAAGGGCUCGCAGGCGGUUUCUUAAGUCUGAUGUGAAAGCCCCCGGCUCAACCGGGGAGGGUCAUUGGAAACUGGGGAACUUGAGUGCAGAAGAGGAGAGUGGAAUUCCACGUGUAGCGGUGAAAUGCGUAGAGAUGUGGAGGAACACCAGUGGCGAAGGCGACUCUCUGGUCUGUAACUGACGCUGAGGAGCGAAAGCGUGGGGAGCGAACAGGAUUAGAUACCCUGGUAGUCCACGCCGUAAACGAUGAGUGCUAAGUGUUAGGGGGUUUCCGCCCCUUAGUGCUGCAGCUAACGCAUUAAGCACUCCGCCUGGGGAGUACGGUCGCAAGACUGAAACUCAAAGGAAUUGACGGGGGCCCGCACAAGCGGUGGAGCAUGUGGUUUAAUUCGAAGCAACGCGAAGAACCUUACCAGGUCUUGACAUCCUCUGACAAUCCUAGAGAUAGGACGUCCCCUUCGGGGGCAAAGUGACAGGUGGUGCAGGGUUGUCGUCAGCUCGUGUCGUGAGAUGUUGGGUUAAGUCCCGCAACGAGCGCAACCCUUGAUCUUAGUUGCCAGCAUUCAGUUGGGCACUCUAAGGUGACUGCCGGUGACAAACCGGAGGAAG